rnacentral:tRNA from 1 species
GAACCAGUAGCUCAGCCGGAUAGAGCAUCUGCCUUCUAAGCAGAGGGUCGCAGGUUCGAGUCCUGCCUGGUUCACCA